rnacentral:rRNA from 1 species
GAUGAACGCUGGCGGCGUGCCUAAUACAUGCAAGUCGAGCGAAUGGAUUAAGAGCUUGCUCUUAUGAAGUUAGCGGCGGACGGGUGAGUAACACGUGGGUAACCUGCCCAUAAGACUGGGAUAACUCCGGGAAACCGGGGCUAAUACCGGAUAACAUUUUGAACCGCAUGGUUCGAAAUUGAAAGGCGGCUUCGGCUGUCACUUAUGGAUGGACCCGCGUCGCAUUAGCUAGUUGGUGAGGUAACGGCUCACCAAGGCAACGAUGCGUAGCCGACCUGGGAGGGUGAUCGGCCACACUGGGACUGUGACACGGCCCAGACCCCUACGGGAGGCAGCAGUAGGGAAUCUUCCGCAAUGUACGAAAGUCUGACGGAGCAACGCCGCGUGAGUGAUGAAGGCUUUCGGGUCGUAAAACUCUGUUGUUAGGGAAGAACAAGUGCUAGUUGAAUAAGCUGGCACCUUGACGGUACCUAACCAGAAAGCCACGGCUAACUACGUGCCAGCAGCCGCCGUAA